GAUGAAGAACGCAGCAAAAUGCGAUAAGUAAUGUGAAUUGCAGAAUUCAGUGAAUCAUCGAAUCUUUGAACACACAUUGCGCCCGCUGGUAUUCCGGCGGGCAUGCCUGUUCGAGCGUCAUUUCAACCCUCAAGCCCCCGGGUUUGGUGUUGGGGAUCGGCUCUGCCCUUCUGGGCGGUGCCGCCCCCGAAAUACAUUGGCGGUCUCGCUGCAGCCUCCAUUGCGUAGUAGCUAACACCUCGCAACUGGAACGCGGCGCGGCCAUGCCGUAAAACCCCAACUUCUGAAUGUUGACCUCGGAUCAGGUAGGAAUACCCGCUGAACUUAAGCAUAUCAAUAAGCGGAGGA
rnacentral:misc_RNA from 1 species